AUUAUCUUGGCAGAUUAGUGCUAUAAAUUUAGAAUUUAUGUAUGUAAUAAAUUUUACAGAUAAUA
rnacentral:tRNA from 2 species